rnacentral:ncRNA from 1 species
AAAUAUCUCUCCGAGCUGCUGUCGCCUAACGCCUUCGGGCCAUGGGGCAGCAGCCGGGGCUGUUACAGGCAGCCCCCAGGGUGAGCGUCGGAAACGGCCUCGCCUUCCUUCUUUGAAAAGGAGAGC